UACGUAGGGGGCGAGCGUUGUCCGGAUUUACUGGGCGUAAAGGGCGCGUAGGCGGGGAGGUAAGUCGGGUGUGAAAUCCCUCGGCCCAACCGAGGAACUGCGCCCGAGACUGCUUCUCUUGAGUCCCGGAGAGGAAGAUGGAAUUCCCGGUGUAGCGGUGAAAUGUGUAGAGAUCGGGAGGAACACCGGUGGCGAAGGCGGUCUUCUGGACGGUGACUGACGCUGAGGCGCGAAAGCGUGGGGAGCAAACGGG
rnacentral:rRNA from 1 species